rnacentral:lncRNA from 1 species
UCAUCAUGUAGCGCCAGCCACACCAGGAACAGAAGGGUGCCGGGUACCUUCCGCAUGCUUGGUAUUCUCCCCGCGGGGCUCUGACCGCUGCCGCUCUCAGGCACCUGUCUUUCCUCUCCGUCCCAGAAUGGAGCCAAGACAAGGGAAUAAACGAAAUUCAAUAGUACACGGAGAUCGGGUGUCUGGGCAGCGUCUUGGAAAAACUAUCCACUACAGGCCUAUUUAUACCCUUGUAAAAUAACUCACCAGCAUCCAGAAGUUUCCUCACACGCAAAUAGCUGAUGGUAAGCCUCAUCACAGAGGCCUUAUCAAGAUGCGAACUCACAUUAUGUGGAAGUGGCAACUGAUGAGCAAGCUCAUAAAAAACUUCAGAUUCUUUACUUCGCCGAGAUCUGGCUGCAUCUCGAGACUUUUCUUUUCGACGUUCAGAACUUAUCCUACUUAACAACAACAAGAAAAACACGAGAUGGAAAGUGUAUACAAGUUAGUUUGCCUUAACUUGAAUAAAACUUUACAUUUCUGCUUAUCACAGAAGGAUUAGAAGAUGCCAUGUAAUUAAGUUACAUGGAGAUUUGUCUACUAGAUUAAUGUACUUUUAUAAAGGGCAACUAUACAAAUUUUGGAUUACUGCACACAUAAGGAACUCUCACAAAAAGUCCAAAACCAAGCUUUAAACCUGUCGGAAGCAGGUGUUUCCUCCCCAGCAUAUGUAAUUGGAGAGAAUGUUUUUAUUUUAGGCAAAAAUUUAAAGUAGCCUGUACAUCUAAGGCUGUACUUCAUAGAAUUCAAAAGUAGUCUCAAUACAGAGAAACCACGAUUAAGGCUAGAGAAACUACCUAAAGUUGUACAUAAUAACUUGAAAACAGGAGUUGUUAGCAGGUAGAACGGUAAUAGCUACAAACUGAUUUCUACUUGUUUCUUUAGACUCCAGUACUUUCUCACCCUUUUACCACAUGAAUAACACUGACGAUAAGCUAUAGGAACUGACAUUAGCAGCUAUAAGCCAGUGCAGGUUGCCUCCUCCCUUAGCAGCCCCUUAUCUAUUACUGGCACAACAGGUGCCAAAUAAAUGCAGGAAUAUGGAAGAAAAAAAGCUGUGGCACACACAAUAUCCAGAAUUUAGAGGGAUAGGUUAGCAAAAAUAAAGGUGUCAAUACAAUGACAUAUCUUCAGGGAACUCUUCCAAGAAGGAAAUCAGAAAGAUUUUCAUUGUCACACCAAGCAAAAGCUGUCUUCCUUUGCUUAACUGCCUAGUGACAUCUAAUAGCUUGUUGAAUAGCAACAGUUUAUUAAAGGUUACCAUGUGCCAACAUUACCCUGUACUAGGUGCCUAGUUCUCUCACAACCUGUAAAUAGGUUAAAUAUUGUCCCUAUUUUACAAAUGAGGGAACUGGCGUUCAAUAGGUUAAAAGUAGCCAUUAUGUAGCAAAUAGGAUUUGAACCCAGGUGUUUUAAAGUCUUUGCUCUUCCACAGUAUUUCUCUUCUUAAUGGGGAAUGCUGCUUCUACUUUAAACACUCACAUGAUCUCCUAUGCCCCUCAACUCACUCCUGUUAAAUAGAUUCUUCACCAAAUGUUAAAAACAGCUAUUAUGAUUUAGUGAGCAUUGGGCAGUAUGCUAAAUAAGGACUUUUAGCCAGCAUUAUUUUACUUAAUCCUCCUUACAUCCUGUGAAUGAAGUACCGAAUUGUCUCCACCCCAAAUCUCUCCUCCUUCCAAAUGAUCUGCAAAGUUGAAAGGUACAACCAUAGAAGCAACAUUCUGGAGUAACAAGCACAGUUCUCAGCAAAUGCUCUUGUUACAAUAUAACAUGUUGUAUUGUGACAAUACUGAUACUAGUUUUAGUACUUACUCAAGUUUGUGUGUUUAUAGGACUUUUAUACUUUAAUAAGGAAUGUAAGCAUGUUAUUGAACUUUGAUAGAAAAAUUUCAACUCAAGCAUCUAGAUCAAUUUAACUUGAGUACCUUGAAAUUUACGGUGAGCUAUUAAAAACUAUUAUCUUCAUCUGGUUAGAUGGUGGAGGAAAAAAAGGAAGAAACUAUUAUCACUUAAAACUAGUUAUAUGAAUCUAUAUGAACUAUAACUAGUUAUAUGAACUAGGAUUUUCUCAAUGCUGUACAAUAAAAAAAAAUUAGUCACUGAGGCUACAUGAAAAUGCAAAUGCCAGCAGUCUGUAAUUUUUUCAUUUCACUGCAUUGUUCUCUGUAAAUGUUUUCAAUUUAAACUUAAAAAUAAAACGUAAGACUUGAUCUGUAUAAGCAGAAGAGUAAAAUAAAAAAACAAGUAUGAUGAUAAUAA